GUAACAACAGCUGUUUUGUCUCCGCCGCAAGGCCGAGGAGCACUUAACCGCAAACCAGCUUGGAUUUGCGCAAUAAGUGCACCUGCUACCUCAGACAGGAGCAGCAACCCGUCCACUGUUUUAGAUAGUUUUCUCAUCAAAGUGCCCUAAAGACGAAAUGUUAUACUUAAUAAUUUAAAAUCCAAACGAGCCACAAUCGUGUUUUCCCCUUGCUGCAUUCAAUUCCUGUUGUCAGAAUGAAAGAAUGGGGAAACCACGUUAAAUGCAUUAUCCUAUUGUAAUUACUGAAUUGGUAACCAUGUUGUUUAGCAGAUUAAUAUAACUAAAUCAUGAAUUAGCAGUUUUGUCGUGUCCCCGUGUGGUUGCUGGCAAGCAACUGGUGGUGUAGGUCGCUUUACCACCGCUUCGUUGACACUUUUUCGUAGUUAUUUUUUAACGGCAGUGGUGUUCGUCAUAGUUUUCAUUAUAUUUGUCCGAAAAGACGUGAACGCAGCGUACAUUGAAGGGAAUCGGGCACCUGGCGGCCAUUCAGGAAAACGGAACGGUUAAGUUUGGGAUGCUUACCUGGUCUGGCAGAGGAGAUUGGUGCUACAACAGCUGCAAGCAGCAGGAGCAGUCCGGAUGGCCCACCACGGCGAGAAUCCAGCACACAGAAGUACCUCUUUUCUCAGGAUAAUCAGUAUGUCCCAGAGGAAUUUUGGUGAAGAAAAAGAUCUCACGACAGUUCUGGAGCUCCUCCUCUCCUCCAUGUUGGCAACUAGACGGCUGACUGCAGAGGAGUGACGGAGGGCUCAGGGGUCAAGGGGCAAACUCAACAGGGAGCAGCCUCUAACCCCCCCAGGAUGUCACCCCACAAGGGCUUCAGGGGCCAAAAGUCACUUGUGGUGACUCGGUACCUGGCUGAGCCCCUUGUGGCUGGAUGCAGACUGAAGCUAGGCUGAAGAGGGAGAAGAUGAUGAAGGCAACG